AGACACGCACAUCAAGAGAAAUGUAAAACUGAAAGCGUUUUCCUGGAAUAGAAAGGGCAGGUACAUGACUAAGAAGACAAGAUGAAAGCAUGCACACGGCCAAGAAGUGGGAUGCCAUCAAGUCCCCAGGCUAAAAGCAGUGAGAGGGCUCACUAAAGAGAUUCAAACAUUUGACAAUGCUGAUUCAGUCCCAUCGGCGCAUGGUCAUUUGUAGGGAUUCGGUGUACUUUUAUUUUUUUGGUUAAAAAUGAAUACAAACAUAAUUAUUGAGUCAAGGAGGCAAAAAUACUUUUGAACAUGGCGUUCCUGAGCUUUUGUGACUCACACGGACAAUCCUGUAAUAUUAAUUCACCAUAAGUGUUGUGUGAAGGGUGUCUGGUAUUUUGGCAGUAUCAAGCUGAGAUGCAUGAAAGUCAUCACGCCCCAACUUCUGGCAUGAAAGGAGUCUGCAGUGUGGUGAUUUGUUCGAGACACAGCCAAUCAAGAGAGAGAAAGAGAGGAAGAACAUCAGAGAGUCCAUAACAAACAGAAUAGGGAAGUGAAGGAGUAUAAGAGUAGAUUAUGACUAUAAUAAAAUGAAGAAUUCUGGUUCGAGGUUUUUUCUUGCUGAACAGAGAGGGAAAUUUCCAGAAUCAUCCAUCCAGCAGAUGUUCACUCCUCAUGGUGAAGAUGCGCCUGACUUUACAGCAGGCUGAGAUUACGAUGCCAUCCAGAGACAGGAACACAGCUCCUCGGAACAGCUCAGUGGUGAAUGAGCCCAGGUCAAUGCAUAGGUUACACCACUAAGUACAGUUGGGAGCAAAAAAAACUCAUUGUAACACUCGGGCAUUUGAGUGAUGUUGUCGGUAUUGCAACUCCUCUGAGCACUCACAAUGUUUCGUCUGAGGCAGGUAAGCGGUAUUCUGGCAUGCAGAGGGGUAGAUGAGAAUUCCUUAUGGACAGUGGACAAGUAAAGCCUUCGUUUCAAGUGCCCUUGAUCUGUUAUACUGAAUGAGUUUAACAGAAGAAAAGGACUAAAAGUAUAAUACAAGCAUGGAAACACAUUAGCCAUUAUAGCAAAGGUCCAAAAAAAUUACAUUCUUUAGCAAAUUAAAUUAAGGUAAUGUCAGUGUGUUUAUGCAUUGAUUGAUGAAUCUAUUUUGUGUGUUUGUAUAUGUGUGUGUGUGUGUGUGAGAGAGAGAGAGAGAGAGACAGACAGACACCUACACAAGCUCAGUUGAGAAGUCUUUACCAGGAGGAACAUUCACCUGCAGGACCAGGAACUUCUGAAUCAGGAGAACUAGAGAAAUGAGAUACACUUUCUCAACCUAGGUCAGCCAAAUGUAACAGAUUUUAAAUGCUCUUUAAAAGCUCUCAUGUCUAAUACCUUUCUAUCAUUUCUAUCAAAUAAAGCCUAUAUUCUUUCAAUAGAGAUGGAGGUCGGUUCAAAAAAGAACUUAUCAAUACAGAACUGUGUUUGUUUAUUUAUUUAUUUAUUUAUUUAUUAAGUGAUUUAGUCUGGUUAUAAGAGUAUUAGCAUCUGUAACUGACACAAUGACAUGGUGGUGGGGUGCAACAAUAAUUUAUUAUUUAUUUAUUUAUUUAUUUAUUUUUCUUUAGCUAAUUGUAAGUAACUCCUAAAACCUAAUUCCAAGUACAAUAUUCUAACUAUACUUACGAGGCAUCUUUCCAUCUUUGGGUAACUGCAUCCUAUGUGUUUGACUGCUGCCUUCGAGGCUGUACACAAAACCUUUCAUUUCUUUAUCAAACAUCUGUUUAAGAAAGAAAGAAAGAAAGAAAGAAAGAAAGAAAGAAAGAAAGAAAGAAAGAAAGAAAGAAAGAAAACAUCAAUAACCUGAAUAUAUUUUCGUGCACUAUGGACAUGUGGACUUAUAUUUACUCACGUAACUGUUGUUUUUAAUUUGAUAACACGUGGAGUCUCCCUUAUUGCCUAAAAGUGACACUUAUUAGGUUAUAUAUGCCUACCUUACUUAUUGACGGCUGGCCGCUAAGUUUCCAUUUUGCAACAGGAUCUUUUCCUUGUGCACUGAAGACCUCUACAACGGCACCCCCCUUCAUCAUAAAACAAACAAACAAACAAACAAAAACAAGCUACUUAUAGAGUAUACAGUAGGUUUCGUGUAAAUAUUAGCUGUGUGCUCUGAGCCUUACCUGAUACUCGUUC